UUGUUAGAAUGGUUGAGAUUGAAUUGAUCCAAUAGAUGAGAUGAGAUUUCCCUUUUAUUAAAUUGUCUAUCCUUUUUCAUUUAAUUACAAAAUUGCCACUGAUCAAAAUUACACCCACUUUCAAAUUUGAAAUUCUAUUGCAGGAGCAUUCUCCUUCGUCUUCUCUCUCUCUCUCGACACUCUCAUUGGUGUCACCGGCAAAAUCCACUGGCGUCGAUCCUCAAGUCUGGGCUAAAAGCUAUGUUUUGAAGGUAUUGCUCUCUUUCUUUUCAUUUGUUGGGUGUCUUGAUGGUGAUUCCAAAAUCCAAAUCGACGGUAUCGACCCAUUAGAUGUUUUCACCCUUUACAGUAUGGAGACUUUUCUUUGUUGUAGUUGUAAUUCCGUUAUUGAAAUUGCCUAUUUAAAACGUAAAAAAAGUGGGUGUGACGGAGCUUUUCUGUGGUGAUGCAAAGAGGUAGGAGGCAGAACUCCGUGCCAAAAACCCAUGUGACUCUGUGCGGAGGGGUUUUGUGCGGAGGUUUUUUUUUUAAAACAUUUUUGCUAUGCAUAUUCAUUAGAAGCUAAAUUAUUCAUUAGAUUGUAGAGUGGAUGGAUUUGUUUGCUUUCACUUCUUCAUCUUUUUGUAUUAGGUUCUUUUUGUGUCUCUAUUAUAAACACAAUGGUGUGGGAACAAGUUGUUCGAAUGGCUGAGAUUGAUUUGAUCCAAGGGUUGAGAGGUAUUCUAUUCAUUUGAUUAAAGUGUCCACAUCCCACACAUGUAUUACAACAUUGCCAUUAGAUCCAACGUCCCAUCCGGCCAGAAAGCAGAAGAAGAGUUGAAGAAGCAACGGAGACAGAGAGAGAGAAGGUGAGAAAGUUUGAGAAGUCCUAGAAAGGAAAGGAGUACUUUGAGAAAGCGGAGAUCGUGAGGUGGAAUUACGGCAAGGGCAAAGGGGGUAGUGGAGGUGGUUGUGAGGCAUAUGGCGGAGUACUUCGAGAAAGCAGCGGCAGCCGGCAAGCAAGUAUUCGAGAUGUUGGGGGUUGGGUGUGUUCAGUUUCAAACAAUUGAAGAAUCUAAGACUUGGAUUGACUGACCAAACUCGGCAAUGGGAAUCCACUGUCCUCAGUAACAGACUCUCUGUCAAUUUUCUUUUGCAAAGUUAAUCGUUUCCUUCCUUUGGUUUGUGUUUUUGAUGUUAGUGUUGUUUGGAGAAUCGUUGGUAGUGCCGUAGGCACGGACAAUGCUCUAGAUUCUUUGUACAUCGAGAAAAGAAGAGUUUUGUUCCUUUUUGUAUUUAGGUACUAUAAUCAAUUAGAAUGAACAUAGGUUUUGUUUUGGUCAGAAGCAUCCAAUCUUAAUGAAACUGGUGCAAUAUGUUCUUAGAGGAGUUGGUGAUCAUUUCAUACUUCAAACUAUUUCUUUGAAUCACGUUAAUU